UUUCAAAACAUAGUAUUUGCUCUAGGGUUUUGUAUAACCAAGAGAGAGAGAAAGAAAUUACGGUAGAAAGAGAGAGAGAGGCAGGAAAGAGACACGGCGGCGGCGUUAGGGUUCCGCCACAAACACAACGACGGUGGCGACUGUGGUUGACGUCGCAAGCUCCGGUUCCAGCAAGAGAAGAAUGUUUUUUCAGCAGAAUUCGGCAAUCUUGAUUUGGUUUUGUUUCACAUUUUCUCCACCAGUACAACCUUAUUUGAUUUAUGGGCUACGUGUUUUGUUUUGCUUGCCUAUUGUACACGCGUCUUCUUCACUCUUCAUCAAUGCUUUCUUAUAGCUGGAAGGGCUUAUGCCAGCAAUGUUGAUGAAGCGACAUUCAGAAAUGAUAGCUUUUGGGAUGAUGGGCAUGAUGUACAACGAAGGGUGCAAGUUCAUUCAAGUUAGUUAAGAGUUAUUAAAGUAGGCGGGAUGGACAAGUUUUGUGUUUUGAUACAAUUAAAGCGGGUCAGGAUAUCCGCGAUAAAAUCUCAGGUGCGGUAGAAUCAUGUUCUAGAAGAAAUUUGCCAGGGGCAUAGUCACAUGGAACACGAUACGCUCCGAUACACGGUACGAAAACCGGUACACAAUUCGGGCCUUUCUAAAAAUCGGUACGUUGGGGAGUAAGCUCAUUUGGGAACGCAAAUUCGGUACGUGGUACGAUGUAUCCUAUGGCGUAACACUGUAGUCUGGUACACAUAUCAUAUAUAUUGUGUGCUAGAUUGAUUGUUACAGCAGGUAUUUAUAGUUAACAUGGGAUGGGUAAUAAUUAACGUGUGUUAAUUGUAGUGUGAAAAGUUAAUGGCGGGGAAAAAUUGUUCACUUACCUCUGUUAUAUAAAAAGCGGGAAAAAGUUAAUAGCUUUUCAAAUUCCGGUACAUGAAUCUGGCCAUAGCGGAACACCGGCCAGUACAAACGGAAACACGUUUCGGAUUAAUUAAAAACGUGUAUUUACCGAUUGGAACACUAUUAUAGUACACAAUCGGGAACGUUCCAAUUUAGCGAUCCGUACACGUACCAGAGGCGAUUGGGACGACUCUGUACCACGAUUUGGUACGACUGAUCUGGUACGCGAUACGCGGGUCUUUUAGCGUUUCCUGUGACUAUGGUCAGGGGUGCCCAACAAAGUUCAUGAAACAAGAUUUCUGAUCAUGUACUAUCAUCAAAAGAUGUGGUAAAGAUGCAACUGUUAUAUAUCCAUGUAUAACUCUCAUUCUUUAACUUAAAAAACAGCUAAUAUCUGCUAUAAUUGCAGGGAGACGUGAUCCAAGAACUUGCAGGAAAGAAUGAUAGAAACUACAUCCAAGUAGCAGUUUUGCCAUAUUAUCAAAUUGACGCCUAUGUUUGCAUCGCUACCAGACCAGGAAUAGAGUUCUGGCGACCCUUCAGUUUCCGAUGAAGCUUCGGUUAAGUUUUGUUCUCCGGCAAGUUUCUGCCCAGGAUAACACCGGUGUGGUGGUUUUGACUGAUACAUUACUGAUCUCUAGCAUGUUGUUUUACUCAUGAAAUAUACCUGUAUGUUUUUGUAAUUCAACUUGAUUGAUGUUUUUUAAUUUUUGAAAUGUAAAAGGUUUGACAUGGUUAAUGUUUAAUGCUAUCCAACAUUGGGCUUC